UGCGCAGGCGGUUGUGCAAGACAGAUGUGAAAUCCCCGGGCUCAACCUGGGAACUGCAUUUGUGACUGCACGGCUGGAGUGCGGCAGAGGGGGAUGGAAUUCCGCGUGUAGCAGUGAAAUGCGUAGAUAUGCGGAGGAACACCGAUGGCGAAGGCAAUCCCCUGGGCCUGCACUGACGCUCAUGCACGAAAGCGUGGGGAGCAAACA
rnacentral:rRNA from 1 species